GACGGAGGAGGCUAGCGUUGUUCGGAAUUACUGGGCGUAAAGAGCGCGCAGGCGGUCGUUCAAGUCGCGUGUGAAAGCCCCCGGCUCAACUGGGGAGGGUCACGCGAUACUGAUCGACUCGAAGGCAGGAGAGGGUAGUGGAAUUCCCGGUGUAGUGGUGUAAAUGCGUAGAUAUCGGGAGGAACACCAGUGGCGAAGGCGACUACCUGGCCUGUUCUUGACGCUGAGGCGCGAAAGCUA
rnacentral:rRNA from 1 species